GAUGAACGCUGGCGGCGUGCCUAAUACAUGCAAGUCGAGCGAACGGACGAGAAGCUUGCUUCUCUGAUGUUAGCGGCGGACGGGUGAGUAACACGUGGAUAACCUACCUAUAAGACUGGGAUAACUUCGGGAAACCGGAGCUAAUACCGGAUAAUAUUUUGAACCGCAUGGUUCAAAAGUGAAAGACGGUCUUGCUGUCACUUAUAGAUGGAUCCGCGCUGCAUUAGCUAGUUGGUAAGGUAACGGCUUACCAAGGCAACGAUGCAUAGCCGACCUGAGAGGGUGAUCGGCCACACUGGAACUGAGACACGGUCCAGACUCCUACGGGAGGCAGCAGUAGGGAAUCUUCCGAAAUGGGCGAAAGCCUGACGGAGCAAAGCCGCGUGAGUGAUGAAGGUCUUCGGAUCGUAAAACUCUGUUAUUAGGGAAGAACAUAUGUGUAAGUAACUGUGCACAUCUUGACGGUACCUAAUCAGAAAGCCACGGCUAACUACGUG
rnacentral:rRNA from 1 species